rnacentral:rRNA from 1 species
ACGGAGGGUGCAAGCGUUAUUCGGAUUUAUUGGGCGUAAAGCGCGUGUAGGCGGUCUUGUAAGUCUGAUGUGAAAGCCCCGGGCUCAACCUGGGAAGUGCAUUGGAAACUGUGAGACUUGAAUACGGGAGAGGGUAGUGGAAUUCCUGGUGUAGGGGUGAAAUUCGUAGAUAUCGGGAGGAACACCAGUGGCGAAGGCGGCCAACUGGACCGAUAUUGACGCUGAGACGCGAAAGCGUGGGGAGCAAACAG